GUCCCUUUGGAGACAUCCGAUAAAAUUGGAAUGAUACAGAGAAGAUUAGCAUGGUCCCUAUGCAGGGAUGACACGUCCAAAAUAAACAUCGGGUUGUUUUUA